rnacentral:rRNA from 1 species
UACGGAGGGUGCGAGCGUUGUCCGGAAUCACUGGGCGUAAAGGGCGCGUAGGCGGAUCUUUAAGUCAGGGGUGAAAUCCCGAGGCUCAACCUCGGAACUGCCUUUGAUACUGGGGAUCUCGAGUCCGGGAGAGGUGAGUGGAACUGCGAGUGUAGAGGUGAAAUUCGUAGAUAUUCGCAAGAACACCAGUGGCGAAGGCGGCCUUCUGGACAGUGACUGACGCUGAGACGCGAAAGCGUGGGGAGCAAACAGG